CUCAUUCGUCCUGAUUUGUUCAUCGCGACUAGUUUUGGGGUUUCAAAUUUCAAUACCGAGUUUGGAGUUGGUUCGUUCGUCAUUGGGGUUCUUGUUCGAGGAUUUUGAUCUCAGAUUUCUUUAUUAUUAUCAAUGAAAACAAGUGCUAUUGAGGUCUAUUUCCUUAAUCCACUCUCUUUUUAUUUAUUUUGAUUUGUUGAAUUGACUCUGAUUAUGUGUGAUGUGAUUAUGUUUUGUUGGAUUUUUGUUACCUUGAUGUUAUGAUCAUGAUGCUUGGUGAUUCGGUUGUAGUGGUUUGAGGAAUAAAUUUGAUCAUGUUUUAAUGGAUUGAUAAAAAAAAAUUGGGGGUGAGGAUUGAAAAUUAACAAAAAGGAUAGAUUCGAUUUAAUUUUGAUUUAUUGAUUGAUUUGAAUCGUGAUAGAUUUAUGAUGUGUUGAAACGGAUAGGCAAUAUAGGUUCGGGUAGGUAAAUUUUAGAAUUUGUUGUUUUGAUUGAAAGUUGGAAUGUACCUGUGAAUGUUUCUUUCUAGUUCAUCAUAUUUAAUUUAAAUGUAUUCAUUUAGCCAGGGAAUGCCCCGAGAGACGUUGUAUUUACUCACCGGGGAAUGCCCCGACAUAUUAUGUUGACAGAAGACGUUUAUGAUGAAGGCCCGAGGCAUUGGGUAAAG
rnacentral:lncRNA from 1 species